GAUCGGAAAGUGAGGAGUAGAUUUUGAGGUUUUUUGUUUGAAGCUUGUUGCUGGUAGCCUUGCUGCCUGGAUUGACUCAUUGUGCUUAGCUUUAGGGUUUAAGUGCUGGCGACCGCUGGAUUAAUAAAUAUAUUCGUGGUGAAGUUUGCGAGAUGUGUCCGAAUAUGGGGCUUACGGGCUGCUGCUGAAUGCUGUGUAGAAGUGAAGUCGAUGGGGGAGGAAGGAAUUCGGCAGGGCUGGCGUCGUAACGUCUGUUGUGGCUUAGAAAGUCGCCAAAUGUCGAGAUCACCCUGCUUUCUCCUAAAGCAUUUCUUUCAGAGGGAGAGAUAGGAUGUCCGUAACGUGGUGGGAUCGCUCAAGACGUUGGACUACGGGACCAAGAAGGGCCGUGCAGAGAAUGGGUCUGUAACCGAAAGGAAUGGAGGAGUAUUUCUCAUUGCACUUGGAGGAGAAGAGAAACAACCAAUUGGUGAAUCUGUUUUUGGGGAAUGGUGGAAUGAUGUGGCAACGCCAGGUGCCAAUCAUCGGAUUUCCCUAGGAACUAUUUGGUACAAGUCCAAUUUCUAGUUUCAGUUUUUGGUAUCCGAACAAUGACUGAUUGGAGCCGCUUAAUGAUGUUUAACCGUUCGGAGGUUAGUACCCAAGUAAUUAGAAAUUUGUCGCAGCAACGGGUUUGAUCAGUUGUAAGUCGUUUUGAUCAGGAAGGGAUGGUGAUGUUGGAAAAUGGGAGAGAGAAUAUACAAGAAUCUUCUUCGCUGCAGGUGCGCCUCUCAGCUGGUGUAUUAAGUUGGAGUGAAGGUUGACAGGCAUGAUGGCUGGAAACGUUUCUCAACCAAGUGUGGCCGAAUUCACAAGGAUGUUCUGCUAUCCUCGUAAUGCACGACAAUGCAGCUGCUGUCGUUUCUAGAAUUAAUACUGAAUGCUGCUGAUAUACUUGCAAGUAGUUGGUUUACGCAGUAUAGUCAAAGUUGAUGUUGGAUUUCAUUUUUGGCGACUUCAGGUCACCAGGAAACGCGUACGUUCAGUACUAGCUAUUUCUUAGCUGGUGCUGAUGGUAUGGGAGACACUGUCACUGAUGAAGGCUGUGGAACCAAUAGUUUUCAGGAUUAAUCAGGAAUUUUUGGUGGAAAAAAAGAGGAAGAAAUAAAGUCGAGGACGCCUGUGGAUCCCACAAUAGCCAGAAGGUUGGAAGAACGUGAAUUGUUUGGUUGAAAGGUAAAGAUUGCAGGAACGAGAAUGAAGUUGAAAAUGAGGUUUUCAAUUCGUCUUUUUGGUAUUUGAGACCUGAACUUGCAAAUCGGUUUUCUCUUUUGGAGAAUUGGAUAAUGGUCAUCAAUGAUGGCGAGCACUGGCUUACCAAGGUAAUGAAAUGGGACUCUAGAUUUGAAAGUUUUGUUGAAACGAUGUGCAAUUGUUGCAGAGGCUUUAAAAUAAUACAUUUCAGUAGGUUUGGUAUCGUUAACCUGCAAUUGAACCCAGAAGUUGCUUUUCUGGUAAGACUUUGAUAUGCCCCUGACUACACUGAUUACGAUGCUGAGAGAGUUGGUACUGUAGGCGUUUCGGAGCCUAAAUCACAAGUGCUUCAAUCAUUUGUUUAAUUUAAUUUUGAGUGUUCAUUAA